rnacentral:rRNA from 1 species
AGGGGAAUAUUGCACAAUGGGGGAAACCCUGAUGCAGCGACGCCGCGUGAACGAAGAAGGUAUUCGUAUCGUAAAGUUCUGUCCUAUGGGAAGAUAAUGACAGUACCAUAGAAGAAAGCUCCGGCUAAAUACGUGCCAGCAGCCGCGGUAAUACGUAUGGAGCGAGCGUUGUCCGGAAUUAUUGGGCGUAAAGGGUACGCAGGCGGUUUAAUAAGUCGAAUGUUAAAGAUCGGGGCUCAACCCCGUAAAGCAUUGGAAACUGAUAAACUUGAGUAGUGGAGAGGAAAGUGGAAUUCCUAGUGUAGUGGUGAAAUACGUAGAUAUUAGGAGGAAUACCAGUAGCGAAGGCGACUUUCUGGACACAAACUGACGCUAAGGUACGAAAGCGUGGGUAGCAAACAGG